AGGAGGAAGAGGAGGCGGAGGAGGCUGCGAUCGGCAGAUGGCGUUUUCCGCUCGCACGCCACCCCCAAGCUCUCGGCAACGGCGUCGCUCGGGCCGACCCCAGAUGCGCUCGGCGCUCGAACGGUCGCGCGGACGAAGGAGAGCGCCGUCUCUGCCCCCCCCCCUUCCUCCCGUCGUCUCGUCGGGAACGCCGCCCUCACGAAUGUCCAAAGAUGAAGAGUACAAGAAAACCCUCCAUUGCGCACAGCCUCUUUGUCAAUCCACCACUGGCUUAGCCCCCCACCCAACACGGCGCGGGUUGAAUGCGAGGAGAUGAAGAUGUGGGAGCAUAGAAAGUACAGGACAAUGGAUGUUGGCUGCACGGCGCUAAGCUGCCCACCGUGCAGCUCCACAGCAUCCCGACAGCAACCUGAUGUGCAUGGUAGUUGCCUAUCUAAGCACUACCCAGGCGCGACCCUGCUUAACUUCCAAGAACUGAUGAGAUCAGGUGUAUCUUUAGGAUAAUUGGUCAAAGGAAACCACCGUUAUUUUACUGAUUUUAUCGUGGUAAAUUGUCAGAUUUGUAAUUCACAUUAUGGCAAUGGCACAGUAUCCAAAGUUUGAAAUUAUGAGUCUUUAAUUUUGAACUUGUACUGCAGUAUAGUUUGGCAGCAUCCCACAGAUAUAAUGUGCAGCUGUGGGAAUUGAACUGUCAUUCUCAUAUAAGCUGGCUCUCUUGCGAGCGUGUCAUCAUCAUCAUCAUCCAGCCCAUGCGGUUACUCAUUGGAUCCACAUGCCUAUGACUUUGCCUUUCAAAAAGCACCCCCCCUUCUCCGCUGUCUUGCCAGUUUCCCUGCCAUGAUGCUGUCCACAUGUCUACUCCAGGACGACAUGUGCAUUUGCUGCGCGUUUUCUGACGAGAAUGCUGCCCAGUGUUUGUCAAAGUCCCCCUCUUGGAACAGACGACAAUGUGGCAGUAAGAAUGCCCAGAAACGAGAGUAUUUUUAUUCUCUCAAUGCGUGUGAUUAUUGUGGUUGUUUCAAAGUAUAAGGCGCCUCUGUUGUAAAAUUGUAAGGACUUUGGUUUGAUGAAUUAUAGCAAAGAGGAGCAACACACGCACACACACAAUGUGGACUUCACAAAACCGUUGAAGGCAUGCAGCACUGAAAUGUAUUUUCAUGUUUAUGCAUCACAUUUUUUGGCGGGUAUUAAGAGUUACGCAGUCUGCUUCUGCACGCCGCAUACAUUUCUUAAUGUGAUGAGACCGAUUAGAAUUCGAAGCGUAUAUUGAACAUUUUGCCGUGUUAACAAUUUGGCUAGAUUAAGACGAAAAAACGGAAAAGUUAUUUAUCCAAAGAUGUUUUAGGGUUUUCAUCUGUACUGCAAUGACACUGUAAUUCAUGAAUAAAAUGUCGCACAGCGGUGAAAACUA